AGUGAACGCUGGCGGCGUGCUUAACACAUGCAAGUCGAACGAGAACGGAAUAUAGCUUGCUAUAUUUGUCAGCUAAGUGGCGCACGGGUGAGUAAUGUAUAGAUAACCUGCCCUUAAGAAAGGAAUAACAGUUGGAAACUACUGCUAAUGCCCUAUAUGCCUUUAAUACAUAAGUAUGCAAGGGAAACGCUUUAGUGCUUAAGGAUGGGUCUGUAUGGUAUCAGCUUGUUGGUGAGGUAAUGGCUCACCAAGGCUAUGACGCCUAACUGGUUUGAAAGGAUGAUCAGUCACACUGGAACUGAGACACGGUCCAUACUCCUACGGGAGGCAGCAGUGGGGAAUAUUGCACAAUGGACGAAAGUCUGAUGCAGCAACGCCGCGUGGAGGAUGACACAUUUCGGUGCGUAAACUCCUUUUAUAUAGGAAGAUAAUGACGGUACUAUAUGAAUAAGCACCGGCUAACUCCGUGCCAGCAGCCGCCGUAACAC
rnacentral:rRNA from 1 species